rnacentral:rRNA from 1 species
UGGUGGAGUGAUUUGUCUGGUUAAUUCCGUUAACGAACGAGACCUCGACCUGCUAAAUAGUUCAACGAAUGCCUGCAUUCGUAUGAUGCUUCUUAGAGGGACUAUCGCUCGUGUAGGCGAUGGAAGUUCGAGGCAAUAACA